rnacentral:rRNA from 1 species
AGAGUUUGAUCCUGGCUCAGAGCGAACGCUGGCGGCAGGCUUAACACAUGCAAGUCGAACGCUCGUCUUCGGACGGGAGUGGCAGACGGGUGAGUAACGCGUGGGAACGUACCCUUCAGUUCGGAAUAACCCAGGGAAACUUGGGCUAAUACCGGAUACGUCCGUAAGGAGAAAGAUUGAUCGCUGAAGGAUCGGCCCGCGUCGGAUUAGCUCGUUGGUGAGGUAACGGCUCACCAAGGCAACGAUCCGUAGCUGGUCUGAGAGGAUGAUCAGCCACACUGGGACUGAGACACGGCCCAGACUCCUACGGGAGGCAGCAGUGGGGAAUAUUGGUCAAUGGGCGCAAGCCUGAACCAGCCAUGCCGCGUGAGUGAAGAAGGCCUUAGGGUUGUAAAGCUCUUUCAGCGGGGACGAUAAUGACGGUACCCGCAGAAGAAGCCCCGGCUAACUUCGUGCCAGCAGCCGCGGUAAUACGAAGGGGGCUAGCGUUGUUCGGAAUUACUGGGCGUAAAGCGCGCGUAGGCGGGCAUUUAAGUCGGGGGUGAAAGCCUGUGGCUCAACCACAGAAUUGCCUUCGAUACUGUUUGGCUUGAGACCGGAAGAGGUAAGUGGAACUGCGAGUGUAGAGGUGAAAUUCGUAGAUAUUCGCAAGAACACCAGUGGCGAAGGCGGCUUACUGGUCCGGUUCUGACGCUGAGGCGCGAAAGCGUGGGGAGCAAACAGGAUUAGAUACCCUAGUAGUCC